rnacentral:lncRNA from 10 species
CUGGGGUGAGGGCACGGGUGUGCUCUUGGCGCUGCCGGCCCCAGUGUGCGGCACUCGUUGCCCCCCAGCCCAGCCCCCGACCCCCGUCUCCUCCUCUCCUUUCCAGGAGGGCCUUUCCGACUCACUCUCUGGGCAUGGCAGAGGUCCUGACCGCCCCCUUGGUGGGGCUGGUCCAGGCUUCAGGCUGGUAUGGGAGCCGCCUCUGUCGGGCCUCUGGCCCCCGGUGUCCUCGCAGUCCUGGAGGUUGUGUCCUAGAAGCGAUCCCCUUCCUCCUGGGCCGGCCUGCGGCAGGCAAGCAGCCCAUCUCACCACGGUUUAUUUCCCCACAGACUCCGUGGGAAGGAGGCUGAGGCAGGAGAAGUGCUUGAAUCCAGGAGGCGGGUCCAGUGAGCCGAGAUCGCGCCACUACACUCCAGCCUGGGCAGCAGGGCAAGACCCUGUCUC